rnacentral:rRNA from 1 species
UACGGGAGGCUGCAGUGGGGAAUAUUGCACAAUGGGGGAAACCCUGAUGCAGCGACGCCGCGUGAGCGAUGAAGUAUUUCGGGAUGUAAAGCUCUAUCAGCAGGGAAGAAAAUGACGGUACCUGACGAAGAAGCCCCGGCGAACUACGUGCAAGCAGCCGCGGUAAUACGUAGGGGGCAAGCGUUAUCAGGAUUUACUGGGUGUAAAGGGAGCGGAGACGGCGAUGCAAGCCAGAUGUGAAAGCCCGGGGCUCAACCCCGGGACUGCAUUUGGAACUGUAUAGCUGGAGUGUCGGAGAGCCAGGCGGAAUUCCUAGUGUAGCGGUGAAAUGCGUAGAUAUUAGGAGGAUCACCAGUGGCGAAGGCGGCCUGCUGGACGAUGACUGACGUUGCGGCUCGAAAGCGUGGGGAGCAAACAGGAUUAGAUACCCGGGUAGUC